rnacentral:rRNA from 1 species
AGCCCGUGAAUCCGGGCCAGCGAAUUCAAGAUCGAUCGGCGAGAUUUAUCGCGUCGGUCAGUUUGAUUUUUCGCUGGUCGCUUGAAUCGGACGUUGCGACCCGUUUGACGUUGGAGUUGUCGUCUGGCUCUCGGGUUAGACGGCGCAAGAGACGAAGCGAAGUUCUCGCGUAUUCCAUCUUCGGGUGGCGGUAUGUGAGAGGCUCGUUUUCGAACCGACUUGUUCGACGGUAUAAAAAUGGUGUCCGCAGAUUUUUUCUCGGUACCGGUCUGCAA